rnacentral:rRNA from 1 species
UGCAAGUCGAGCGCGUGUAGCAAUACACGAGCGGCGCACGGGUGAGUAACGCGUGGAUAUCUGCCUUUUGGUUCGGAAUAACCCCGGGAAACUGGGGCUAAUACCGGAUGGUUCCUACGGGAUAAAGAUUUAUCGCCAAAAGAUGAGUCCGCGUCCGAUUAGCUAGUUGGUGAGGUAACGGCUCACCAAGGCGACGAUCGGUAGCUGGUCUGAGAGGACGAUCAGCCACACUGGGACUGAGACACGGCCCAGACUCCUACGGGAGGCAGCAGUGGGGAAUAUUGGACAAUGGGGGCAACCCUGAUCCAGCCAUGCCGCGUGAGUGAUGAAGGCCUUCGGGUUGUAAAGCUCUUUUGGCGGGGACGAUGAUGACGGUACCCGCAGAAUAAGCCCCGGCUAACUUCGUGCCAGCAGCCGCGGUAAGACGAAGGGGGCUAGCGUUGUUCGGAAUUACUGGGCGUAAAGCGCGUGUAGGCGGUUGUCCAAGUUGGAUGUGAAAGCCUUGAGCUCAACUCAAGAAAUGCAUUCAGGACUGGAUGACUAGAGGA